GCCCAUCAUUGCCUCACUCAGGUGUCCUUAGCCCACUACACGUUUUUGUUUGAGUGGCCAAUCUGUUCCCUGUGGCCUCUUUCUGCCUUGACACCUAUUUUCUGUCUUGCGGACUCUUGCUUCACUAUAAAUAAUUAGAUUGCUUUCCAAAAGUCGGAUGCUCAAAUUCAUGUUUUAUUGUGGUUUGAAGUGGCCAAAUGACAGGUGGAUGUGGGUCAUGGCCUAGUCAUGCCUCCAUUAGGACAACCCUAAAGAAUGGCAAGAAGAGGGAGGCAUCAGCUCAUACCCCCUCCCUGGCUUAGCAGAUAAAUAGUACAGUGUUGGCAAUCCAGAAUACUUCCCCAGGAACAGUGCCAGAGUGACCUCGAGUGACUCAGUCCGUUAGUGCAGGUGUUCCCAAGAUCGCCUCUCCCGCUCCAUGGGGCACGGCUGCGUCCUUUUUACCUCUGGCCCAUUUAUCUCCAAAGGCUUCUAACGCAGAGCUUCUCAAUUUUGAGGGUGCCUAGGAACCACCUGGAAGUCUUGUUAGAGUGCAGACACUGAAUGAGCAGCUCUGGGGCCUACUGAGAGUCUGCCCUCUUGACAAACUCAUCGCACCGCUGCUGUAGGUCCACGGAUCACACUUUGAGUGGCAAGCGUCUGAAGCUUUUCCUGAUUGGCUGCAGGAUGGCCCAGGCGCCUGGUCUUUUCAAUUCCAGGGCUUUGGCGAAACCGCCAGGCCCAGGAGGUUGGAAUCCAAGGCAAUGUGAUCCACGUCUGUGAGAAAGGCAACCGCAGGGAGAGGGCAAGGAGGCACAUGGCAUCAUUGUACCUACUGCACUUCCCCAACCCCUCAUGACUUGCUUUGGCCCGUGAAAUGAAUGCAGAAGUGACUUGUAUUACUUCCGGAUGAACACUUGGAGAAUUAGUGCUUGAUUUGCCCCGUCCUCGCUUCCUGCCUUCAGGGUCGAGGAGGCAGCAUGUCCAGUUCCAGCUGCCUGCAUCCCUGGGUGGCUGUGGGAAACAGAGCUCCUCUUGACCCACAAUGGACACAUUUCAGGAUCGAGGAAUAAACUUUUAUGUCAAACCAC